AGUGACACAUUCGCUUCAAAAGUUUAGUAUCACCACACGCGAUUAAAAUGGGUAAAGUUUCGAAAGGUAUCCUUUUCUUCUUCACGGUGAGCAGAGGCCAUUCGGUCAGUGAUAAGCUGCAGCAGAUGGAAAACCAAAAGGGGGUCCCAAGGCAAAGUUCAAAUAGUGGCACAUCUGUACAUUAUAAGAAGGGUAAAUAUCCCCUAAUUCAUCAGGGCAGUACCAUAUCCAAUUCUUCAACGACGUCGCUUUGAUUAUGUACUGGAACGAUCUCCUAUAAUACUCAUUAAGUUGCUCACUUAUAUUAAGUGAUGACUCGUAAAUUAUGAUUAAUGCUAUUUUUGUAUUGUAAUGUAAUCAUCUAAAACCAAUAAUUGGUCUUCAGCAUUUAUAAUUGAUUGUAAUAGUCCAUUAUAAUUAAACUUUCUAUCCCAAAAGUGCACAAGAGCUAAGUGCCACCUUACGCAAUACUUCUCAUGAUGCCUUCAAAACUAAACCCAUCAAUUAUUAUUGAGAGAUGUUUGUAUUCUAUGCUCUUAGUAGGUGCGGAAUAAAUAUAAGUUGAUCUAGCUAUCUGUCCCUGGAAAAUAAAUAAAUAAACAAA